rnacentral:rRNA from 1 species
GUAGGGAAUAUUGCGCAAUGGACGAAAGUCUGACGCAGCGACGCCGCGUGAGUGAUGAAGGCCUUAGGGUCGUAAAGCUCUGUUGAAUGGGAAGAAAAAAAUGACGGUACCAUUCGAGGAAGGACCGGCUAACUUCGUGCCAGCAGCCGCGGUAAUACGAGGGGUCCUAGCGUUGUUCGGAAUCAUUGGGCGUAAAGGGUGUGUAGGUGGCCAUGUAAGUCAGGUGUGAAAGCCCCGGGCUCAACCCGGGAAGUGCACUUGAUACUGCGUGGCUUGAGUACCGAAGAGGGUAGUGGAAUUCCAGGUGUAGUGGUGUAAUACGUAGAUAUCUGGAGGAACACCGGUGGCGAAGGCGGCUACCUGGUCGAGUACUGACACUGAGACACGAAAGCAUGGGGAUCAAACAGGAUUAGAAACCCGGGUAGUCC